UAGGGAAUCUUCCGCAAUGGGCGAAAGCCUGACGGAGCAACGCCGCGUGAGUGAUGAAGGUCUUCGGAUCGUAAAACUCUGUUAUUAGGGAAGAACAAAUGUGUAAGUAACUAUGCACGUCUUGACGGUACCUAAUCAGAAAGCCACGGCUAACUACGUGCCAGCAGCCGCGGUAAUACGUAGGUGGCAAGCGUUAUCCGGAAUUAUUGGGCGUAAAGCGCGCGUAGGCGGUUUUUUAAGUCUGAUGUGAAAGCCCACGGCUCAACCGUGGAGGGUCAUUGGAAACUGGAAGACUUGAGUGCAGAAGAGGAAAGUGGAAUUCCAUGUGUAGCGGUGAAAUGCGCAGCGAUAUGGAGGAACACCAGUGGCGAAGGCGACUUUCUGGUCUGUAACUGACGCUGAUGUGCGAAAGCGUGGGGAUCAAACAGG
rnacentral:rRNA from 1 species